UCCCUCUUAGCUCAGUUGGUAGAGCGCGUCACUAGUAUUUAUUAAUGACGAGGUCAGUCGUUCAAGUCGGCUAGAGGGAA